CCUACGGGAGGCAGCAGUGGGGAAUAUUGGACAAUGGGGGGUACCCUGAUCCAGCCAUGCCGCGUGUGUGAAGAAGGCCCUCGGGUUGUAAAGCACUUUCAGUGAGGAAGAACGCCUGGUGGUUAAUACCCAUCAGGAAAGACAUCACUCACAGAAGAAGCACCGGCUAACUCCGUGCCAGCAGCCGCGGUAAUACGGAGGGUGCGAGCGUUAAUCGGAAUUACUGGGCGUAAAGCGCGCGUAGGUGGCUUGAUAAGCCGGUUGUGAAAGCCCCGGGCUCAACCUGGGAACGGCAUCCGGAACUGUCAAGCUAGAGUGCAGGAGAGGAAGGUAGAAUUCCCGGUGUAGCGGUGAAAUGCGUAGAGAUCGGGAGGAAUACCAGUGGCGAAGGCGGCCUUCUGGACUGACACUGACACUGAGGUGCGAAAGCGUGGGUAGCAAACAGGAUUAGAUACCCCAGUAGUC
rnacentral:rRNA from 1 species